ACAAUACUACGCUUUGGGACAAGGGAUGGAAGGGUGCCUUGUCCAUUUUGCCUUUUGUCACUGCUUUGUUUUUUCUCUCUGCAGCUUUCUAUAGCAUUCUCCACCUGACUAUUUGGGGCAUGACCAGAGAGAUGUCAUGCACUCUUUUACUCCAUUGAAAGUUAGUGCAAAUAGUGCAGGAAACAGUCUUAAUAUGAGAUGAGGGAUGGACAUGGACCUCAUACAGCUUGUGUUGGGUCUGAAGUCAUCUAUCCAUGCUGUGCUUGGGAAGAGCUGGAGGAAUUUGGACCAGAGGGUGUUCUGUCCUGUUCCUUUCCAUUCAGGUAAAAGAAAGCUUGGCUGAAUACAGAGAUUUGGGCUCUAGCAAGUUCCUGUGUGAGUCUGUGUGUGAAGCCUACUUGCAUGGUAAAUCCAACUCCAUGGAAAUCAACAGAAGGCUUGCAGUUGGUUUUCGUGGUGUCAUGAUUUCAUUCCAUAUUGACGCUGGCACAUCUGUGUUGUUACCCACCACGCUGUUUGCCCAGAAUGAGGAAGUCCUAUCUCAAGCGAAAGAAACACUGAAGAGAGUGAGAGAUACAGAUGAGGUGAGGACGUCCUUGGUUAUCAGUAAUCCUACCUGAAGCUUUCAAUGAAUUCUGGGAGGAAUUUAUGCAGAAAAAUCAGCCAGUGGAAAAAAAACAAGAAAACAAAACCCACUGAGGUGCCUCUUUGAAAGACUGGACUCAGAAGCCUAAAAACUUUUAAGACAGUCAUCAAAUCCAUCCAAACAAUAAAAGGAAUAAAAACUGGAGAUCCU
rnacentral:lncRNA from 1 species